CUGGAAGAAAAGCCUGACUUCUGGCUGAACUGUCUGGUGUUUGCUGUUUCCUCCACUUUGCUGUUUAUUGUGUUUCUGAUGAGACCCCGGCAGCUUUAGCAGGCGACUCAAGCAGGGGCUGGGCUCAGAGUCGUGAACGGUCUGCGGCGGCUGCGAUCGAUGCUGCCAGCGGGAUGGACUGGCACGUGCUGGGGGAAAAGAGGAAUGUCAAACAGCGCUUCUCCAGCAGAAGCAUUCCCUGCAAACCACAGGUGGAAGCCAGGUUACAGAGGGAUGAUCCAUCCUGUUGGGCACGGGAGAGCUGCUUGUGUUGGGGCUCACUGGGGCUGAGGCGUUUUCUGUGCAGAAUUCCCGUGUAGAUCAAAGAGGGGAUGCUGAAUGCCAGCCCUGCAGGCUGGGCUCUCCCAGCAGAGCUGGGGUGAUGUUAAACACCUGCUCUCCCUGUGCUGCAGGCCCUACACUGUCAGCAGUAAUGGGGCUGUUGUCUUAUCUCCGCUGGGGGUGGGCGGCUGUGCCGAGAAAGGUCUUGCUCUGCUCUUUCUUCUCUACUUUUGUGUCAAAGGUGAUGCUCCUGAGGAAGUUUUUGGUGGCAGCAGCAAAGUUCCCCAUAGCCUCUGGUUGUCAAAUGUUACAGAGGCUUUAUUAAACGGUAAAUAAGAGAUGCUGUGGAAGGAAAGCUCUAAAGAGAGAGAACUUGGCCAAAAUAGUGCUUCAGAAUGGUCUGUAAAAUAACAGAUAUGUUGUUUACUAUUUUUUGCAAGCAGUGGGGAAGAAAAAAACCAACAUUUCAUCCACCAAGAAGGAUUAUGGCAGCUGAAAUUAUUGACUUGCUGAUCAGCCUGGGAGUUUUCCUACAACUCCUGUCUAAUUGCUGCACUAAAGGUUUGCAAAACAGCCUUUUCCAAGCUGAAGAGCCAAAGAUUGUAGCAGCACGGAGCCCUCUCCAUACAGCACUUCUACAUAGAAUUGCUGGUUGCCACCUUUUCACAUGCUUAAGGCAGUAUUUCAUAGUGAUCCACACCCAUGUUCCUAUUGAAAUUCCCUGCAUUUGGUGCAAACUUCUGCAAGACAGGGGGCUGGAUUUUCAGAUCUUUACACUAUCAGGUAAAGAUUUGUGGUUUAGAGCACAGUGUGUAUUUGUAGUGCAGUUUGCAUGGUGCAGAACUUGCCCUCCACACUGAAAGCCCUGGACUACUUUAAAUGAGAAAAAUUAGCAUGGCUAAGAACUCCAAACAACUGCUUUAUUAAUUCUAUUUCAUUUCAAUCUACUGCUAAAAGCUAUUCUGAAGAGUUUUUAUGGAUACUUGCUCAGUUGGGCUUUGUGGAUUUAUCCCGUGUUGGGACACUCUUUCAGAGGGAAAUUCUGCAAAGUUUCUCCUAUGAGGCAAUGCUGAAACAUCCCAAUUGCAAAUUUUUUUGAAAACUGAUUUUGGUUCUUAACCAGAAACUAUACUUGCUAAAUGCUUUAUUUUGUGUUUACAAGAAGACAUAACACAACAAGGACAGGCUUGAUAUAAAAUAAUUUAUUAGGAACCACUUAAAUUUUUUUUUAGAAUGUUUGUGUACGCACAUUUUGCAGAUUUAGAGCUUGUUCAUAAUUGGGAAAAAAAGUGUUCAAGUACCUAUUUUAUAUAGUGUAUUAGUUCUGUGCUUCACAUCUGAUUUGAAUAAAUUAUAUUAUGCUGAGUCCA
ensembl:lncRNA